UACAGAGGUCCCAAGCGUUGUUCGGAUUCACUGGGCGUAAAGGGUGCGUAGGUGGUGGGGUAAGUCGGAUGUGAAAGCUCAGAGCUCAACUCCGAAAUGGCAUUGGAAACUACCCUGCUAGAGGGUCGGAGGGGGGACUGGAAUUCUCGGUGUAGCAGUGAAAUGCGUAGAUAUCGAGAGGAACACCAGUGGCGAAGGCGAGUCCCUGGACGACUCCUGACACUGAGGCACGAAAGCUAGGGGAGCAAACAGG
rnacentral:rRNA from 1 species